AACGAACGCUGGCGGCAGGCUUAACACAUGCAAGUCGAGCGCGCGCUUUCGGGCGCGAGCGGCGGACGGGUGAGUAACGCGUGGGAACGUGCCCUUCUCUCCGGAAUAGCCCUGGGAAACCGGGAUUAAUGCCGGAUACGCCCGUGCCGAGUGGAUCGGUGCGGGGAAAGGUGGGGAUCUUCGGACCUACCGCGAUUGGAUGCACCCAGGUGGGAUUAGCUAGUUGGUGAGGUAACGGCUCACCAAGGCGACGAUCUCUAGCUGGUCUGAGAGGAUGACCAGCCACACUGGAACUGAGACACGGCCCAGACUCCUACGGGAGGCAGCAGUGGGGAAUCUUAGACAAUGGGGGAAACCCUGAUCUAGCCAUGCCGCGUGAUCGAUGAAGGCCUUAGGGUUGUAAAGAUCUUUCAGUGGGGAAGAUAAUGACUGUACCCACAGAAGAAGCCCCGGCUAACUCCGUGCCAGCCGCCGCAGUAACAC
rnacentral:rRNA from 1 species